CUCGGCUGCUGGUGCGCCGUGAAAGGCCGGCUGGGGAAGACCGGCGGGGCGGCCGCAGCCUGCUCGCCCGGGCGGCAGACGCUCCGAGAUGCCGAAGGGCCAGCAGCGGCCCCGAAGCUCCGGGCUGGCCGCGCUGUCGCUCUGCCGCGCCCCGGUCUCGAAGUGAAGGUGCCUCUUCCUGGCUAGCCCACCUACAUGCUGUCAUCACUGGGCUUCUAAAACUCUCAGUCUUUGUGGCUGCACCCUUCCCUUCUGAAUCCUGAGGACCCAUGAGUGUCAGGCCCAUCAUGAAAUUGGUCUUCUUACUGGAUGAAACCCAAAGUUGUCCCAUGAAGGACUCCUGAAAACCCCUUUCAAGCCUCGGCCACAGAUGAUCUGCGGAAUGCUCAUUAAGGGGGAAACAAAGAGGUGGUUUUGUUUAUUUAUUUAAGGGGAAAAAAUAAAU
rnacentral:lncRNA from 1 species